rnacentral:miRNA from 1 species
UCGAUUGGUGCAGAUCGGGAA